GAUGAAGAACGUAGCGAAAUGCGAUAAGUAAUGUGAAUUGCAGAAUUCAGUGAAUCAUCGAAUCCUUGAACGCACAUUGCGCCCGCCAGUAUUCUGGCGGGCAUGCCUGUUCGAGCGUCAUUUCAACCAUCAAGCCCCCGGGCUUGUGUUGGGGACCUGCGGCUGCCGCAGGCCCUGAAAAGCAGUGGCGGGCUCGCUGUCACACCGAGCGUAGUAGCAUACAUCUCGCUCUGGGCGUGCUGCGGGUUCCGGCCGUUAAACCACCUUUUAACCCAAGGUUGACCUCGGAUCAGGUAGGAAGACCCGCUGAACUUAAGCAUAUCAAUAAGCGGAGGA
rnacentral:misc_RNA from 1 species